rnacentral:snRNA from 1 species
GGAUGUGAGGGCCAUCUGCCUGCAGCAUGCUAUCCUAUUCAUCUGCAGGGUUGAUUUGGCUUAUCCGGUUAGCUAGAAGGAUAUCCUCUUCAUCCCUCACAGCUCCAUGUGUAACUCUCCUGAAGCUCUGAGCUCAGCUAAAGAGGACAACCUUCCCCAAAUAAAGGAGGACCAGUCUUCUGUCAAAGGUAUAAGAGUAGCUACAUUCCCCCACUAGAACCUCCAAACAAGCCUUCAUUUGCAUGAGAUGAAUUUUAAAAAUGUAGUUAAUUUGAUACAUAGUAAGUGUACAUAUGUAU